GCUGCUUAAUAGUUGAUUAGAUUAGAAUCAUACUCUUGCUAAGUUUAAAUUCCACUAAGCAUCCAUACAACUUAGCCUAAUUAACUCUAAAAGAUUAGAAGUAGUUGAAAAGUUUUUAAAAGACCCAAUUCACCCCCCCCCCCUCCUCUUGGGUUGUCACCUUGGGCAACAAGUGGUAUCAGAGCAGGUGCUCUUCUAUUAAUUAUAAGUCUUAACCGACUAGAGCUAAAGAUUAUGACAACCCCACAUAACAUACUAUUUGCCGAGG
rnacentral:lncRNA from 1 species